AGAAAAUACAUGCGCACAUCAUAUCCAACUGUGAAGCAUCAGUUUGAUGUUUGGCAUGUCUCCAAAGGCAUCCGCAAGAAGCUCAUGAGUGCGAGCAAGACAAAGGGGUGUGAAGCACUUGAGCUGUGGACAAAGCCUGUUGUCAACCACCUUUACUUCUGUGUCACUCACUGUGAAGGGGACACAGAGCAAGCUCUCUCAAUGUGGAAGAGCCUCAACAACCAUGCUUGCAAUGUCCAUGAGGGUCACGAGGGUUCUUAUACGCGCUGUUUGCACCCUCUCCUCGACGACACGAAGCGACCAUGGCUCAUUCCUGGAUCACAGCCGCAGAAAAAGCUAGCCAGUAUAACAUUGUCAAAGUACCUCCUCAAGGACAUCCCGAGCCUUUCUCCUGAUGUGCAGACUUCAAGCUUGGAGGCAUUCCACAGCCUCCUCAUCAGGUUUGCUCCAAAGUCUGUUGGGUAUGGCCCCAAAACCAUGAAGUGCAGGUA